rnacentral:rRNA from 1 species
CCUACGGGUGGCAGCAGUGGGGAAUAUUGGGCAAUGGGCGCAAGCCUGACCCAGCAACGCCGCGUGAAGGAAGAAGGCUUUCUGGUUGUAAACUUCUUUUCUGAGGGACGAAGAAAGUGACGGUACCUCUGUAAUAAGCCACGGCUAACUACGUGCCAGCAGCCGCUGCAUUACGUAGGUGGCAAGCGUUAUCCGGAUUUAUUGGGUGUAAGGGGCGUGUAGGCGGGAAAGCAAGUCAGAUGUGAAAACUCAGGGCUCAACCCUGAGCCUGCAUUUGAAACUGUUUUUCUUGAGUGCUGGAGAGGCAAUCGGAAUUCCGUGUGUAGCGGUGAAAUGCGUAGAUAUACGGAGGAACACCAGUGGCGAAGGCGGAUUGCUGGACAGUAACUGACGCUGAGGCGCGAAAGCGUGGGGAGCAAACAGGAUUAGAUACCCCAGUAGUC